rnacentral:lncRNA from 1 species
CAUCCCCCCCCCACGCACACACAACACACCACCACCCCCUCUCCCUUUCCCUCUCCUCUCCGCAGCACGCUUUAAAAAUGACAGCUGCCCACGUUUGUGAUUUUAGCGGAAAAGUUCUGAGCGGGCUGCAGGAGCGGCUCGUGGGCCAGGCCGCCGUGGGGCUGCGAUGGGGCCAAGGCGGGGCUGAGCACGGCCAGGAGCUGCGCCGGGGGGCCCGCCUGGCCCGAGGGGUAGGGCGCGGCGGGUGCGGCGCUGGGGUUGGUGCUGGGCGGCGGGGGCACGGCCCCCCCGAUGAUGUUGUCUAUGGAAAAAGAGGGCCGGGAGGGGUUGGUGGUGGCGGCGGCGGUGCCUCCGCUGCCCGCGGGCGUGGGGUCCGGCUUGAGGGUCUGGAGGAGGGCGGCGGGGAGGGCCGUAGGGCUGAGUUGGGGGUGGUAGAAGGACUUCCUGCAGUUCAGCUCGCCGCCCAGGAACGAGGGCAGCCCGGAGGCGGCCGAGAAGACGGAGGCGGCGGAGGGAGGCGGCGGAGCCGGGAAGAUAACAAAGUCAGACGAGUCCCCGUCGACCAAAGCAGGGCGAGCUUCAUCCCACAGCCGGCCCCCAUCCGAAGGGCAGCGGCCUAAGCAUCAGAAGAGGAUUUGGAGGUGAGAAUGCAACACCACGGCUGGGUCUGGAGCUACCUGCACCUGCAAAGGAAAAGCGAUCUCAUCUGGACAGCAGGACACGAAGGCCCAGCCCAUAGGGGUGCUCAUAGCCCAAGGCCCUGCUCCGAUGUAAUUGUAUCCAUCGUGGGAGAAGCCCCCUGUUGGACUUCAGCCUGACUCCAGCUGGUGUGGGGUCACCUGGGAGGUGCUGGGACUGUUCACACCACUCCCAGCCUCGCAGCAUUGGGGCCCAGAUGUCAGACUGGUUUUGACAGAUGGAUAAAGCAGCAGGGCAGGGGCGGGCAGGAGCACACAGGCAGGAAACAGGCUGAGUUGUUGCACUGAGAGAGGAAAUCCAAAACGGACAGAUGCUAAUUCCCACACAUGCUUUAUCACUCAGGGUGAUAUAAUAAUAAUAAAGAUGGCAACCGCACAGAUGGGAUGAGUCUUUCUUUACAACGACGCGAUGCAGAGUGAGUAAACCACAC